UCAAAACAUUGUGAGAGUACUACCGUUGGGUCAAGAUGCAGUAAUGUAAUACAUUUAGUAUAUGAUAUGUGUAUUAGAGACUUCACUGGUGUAUUUAACUUGAUUCACGGCCAUAAACAUGCUUUGUGAGGUCACCGGGACUCUUAACCCUCAACCGUGACAAUCUAACUACUUCAUCCUCGAGUCCAAGUGAACCUUUGUGCCAACUUUGCAGGAAUUCCCUCAAGCAGCUCCUGAGAUAUCAUGUUCCAAAGCAAUUGCGCAGCCUGCCUAUUAUCCCAAGAGGAGCUUACGCUGGAAUUGAUCUGGUGGCCGGGGUUCCUCCAGAUUGUAGCAGAGGGAGCGAGUGCGUCAGAGCAGUCCACUCUUGGCAGAGGAACAAAAGGGAAAGUGAUGCUAGCCCUCACCUGCCUAAGAUGGAGACUCUGUAAAUAUCCGGGCGAGGUGACGCCAGCUGCCGUGGCUCUGAGCCACUUGGGCCAUGAGGCAGACUUCCCCGUCACAUGCCGUAUUAGAUAAAGUACAAGGGUAUCCUCACACACCAGGUGAGCCCCAUGUGCUCCAUGAGAAGAGCUGGCACCAUCCCAGCCCAGUAACCCUGUUAAGGGAGGGAACUCCUGUCCACCUGCGUCAAUGGUUACUAAUGCUCCCCGGUCAGCAGCCUGAGAUCAGGAGGGAUACACCUCAGGACAGAUGGCUGCAUGAACAACAUUCACUUCACCUGUGUGACCAGUGCUCCUUCACACUU